UACGUAGGUGGCAAGCGUUGUCCGGAUUUAUUGGGUUUAAAGGGUGCGUAGGCGGUUUCUUAAGUCAGUGGUGAAAUACUUCAGCUCAACUGGAGAGGUGCCAUUGAUACUGGGAGACUUGAGUACUGAUGAGGUAGGCGGAAUGGACGGUGUAGCGGUGAAAUGCUUAGAUAUCGUCCAGAACACCGAUAGCGAAGGCAGCUUACUAAGGAGUAACUGACGCUGAGGCACGAAAGUGUGGGGAUCAAACAGGAUUAGAUACCCCCGUAGUCC
rnacentral:rRNA from 1 species